CAAUUCUGAAGAGGUCACUACGGUUCCUCUUACAGAUCCCGAUCAAGCUUAAGAGCUCAUUACGGUCAAGCUAAAGACCAUAAACAAGCGCUUCGUGGGAGGCAACCCACUAGGUAUCUUGUAUAUAUUCUGGUUUUAUUGCUUUCAAACUUAUUUUUUUUUUCAUCUUUUUGCUUCGAUUCCACUCUGCUGGGAGUGACGGAAUGAUCGGUCCAACUCUACACCGAUCAAACCAUGCUGUUUCAUGCUGCUUUUUAGUUUUCUAUGUGCAGGAAAGAAGGACCGAUCGGUCCUUACAAGAAUCGAUCGAUCCAUUGGGUUCUGAAAGACCCGGCAGCAGCUGACCGAUCGGUCGUUCCUUCCGACCGAUCGGUUGUUAAUCGC
rnacentral:lncRNA from 1 species